UCCCAAGUAGCUGGGAUUAGGCACAUGCCACCAUGGCCAAGUGAGAAGAAAACAUCAGAAGCAGCUGAGCAACUAGGAAGUGGGUCCUCUAGGGAUGAGGAGGCAUUGUGAUGGAUGGCUUUUUAAAAAUGUUUCUCCAGAGUCAUCUGCCUCAUGAUCAAUGGUUUUUGCCUCAGAUGUCUCUUUUUGAUAUCAACUGACAUGAUUUUUUUGUUUUGAAUGCACAUUGCUUUAGUCCUUCUUAAUAAGCCCAUCACAUUUUCACCAUUUUGCCUAUAUAUGCUUUUUCUGUGGUAUUAACGAGACUAUGCAUCAAAGCAGUUUUUAAAAGCAGUCCUGGCAAAUGGUUCAGAAACUGGUACAAAAUUGUCAGCUUUUUAUCACAUA